rnacentral:rRNA from 1 species
UACGGAGGGUGCAAACGGUGCUCGGAAUCAUUGGGCGUAAAGCGCACGUAGGCGGUUCGUCGCGUCGGCUGUGAAAACCUGAGGCUCAACCUCAGGCCUGCAGUCGAUACGGGCGGACUUGAGUGCUGCAGGGGAGACUGGAAUUCCUGGUGUAGCGGUGAAAUGCGCAGAUAUCAGGAGGAACACCGGUGGCGAAGGCGGGUCUCUGGGCAGUAACUGACGCUGAGGAGCGAAAGCGUGGGGAGCGAACAGG